rfam:Triticum aestivum genome assembly, contig: Triticum_aestivum_CS42_TGACv1_scaffold_093281_2AL
AUGAUACUCCCUUCGUUUCAAAUUACUUGUCGCGAAAAUGGAUGUAUCCAGAAAUAAAAUACAUCUAAAUACAUCCAUACCAGCGACAAGUAAUUUGGAACAGAGGGAGUACCUC